rnacentral:rRNA from 1 species
CCUACGGGAGGCAGCAGUGAGGAAUAUUGGUCAAUGGCCGUAAGGCUGAACCAGCCAAGUCGCGUGAAUGAAGAAGGAUCUAUGGUUUGUAAACUUCUUUUAUAGGGGAAUAAAGGUAUCCACGUGUGGAUAUUUGCAUGUACCCUAUGAAUAAGCAUCGGCUAACUCCGUGCCAGCAGCCGCGGUAAUACGGAGGAUGCGAGCGUUAUCCGGAUUUAUUGGGUUUAAAGGGUGCGUAGGUUGUUUUUUAAGUCAGCGGUGAAAGUUUGUGGCUCAACCAUAAAAUUGCCGUUGAAACUGGAAGACGUGAGUGUGUUUGAGGUAGGCGGAAUGCGUGGUGUAGCGGUGAAAUGCAUAGAUAUCACGCAGAACUCCGAUUGCGAAGGCAGCUUACUAAGCCAUAACUGACACUGAAGCACGAAAGCGUGGGGAUCAAACAGGAUUAGAUACCCUAGUAGUC